rnacentral:rRNA from 1 species
CAAAGGCAUGGUCCUGACCUUAUUAUCAGCUCUUACCCGACUUACACAUGCAAGUCUCCGCAAUCCCGUGAGUAUGCCCUCAAUCCCCUGCCCGGGGACGAGGAGCGGGCAUCAGGCACAAACUUUAGCCCAAGACGCCUGGCCAAGCCACACCCCCAAGGGAAUUCAGCAGUGAUAAACAUUAAGCCAUAAGUGAAAACUUGACUCAGUCAAGGUAAAGAGGGCCGGUAAAACUCGUGCCAGCCACCGCGGUUAAACGAGAGGCCCUAGUUGAUAAAACCACGGCGUAAAGGGUGGUUAAGGAAAGCAAACAAAUUUUAAAGCCAAAUGGCCCUUUGGCCGUCAUACGCUUCUAGGUGUCCGAAGCCCAAUUACACGAAAGUAGCUUUAUAAAGCCCACC